UACGAAGGGGGCUAGCGUUGUUCGGAAUCACUGGGCGUAAAGCGCUCGUAGGCGGAUCUUUAAGUCAGAGGUGAAAUCCCAAGGCUCAACCUUGGAACUGCCUUUGAUACUGGGGAUCUCGAGUCCGGGAGAGGUGAGUGGAACUGCGAGUGUAGAGGUGAAAUUCGUAGAUAAUCGCAAGAACACCAGUGGCGAAGGCGGCUCACUGGCCCGGUACUGACGCUGAGGAGCGAAAGCGUGGGGAGCAAACAGG
rnacentral:rRNA from 1 species